UUGAACGCUGGCGGCAUGCCUUACACAUGCAAGUCGAACGGCAGCACGGGUGCUUGCACCUGGUGGCGAGUGGCGAACGGGUGAGUAAUAUAUCGGAACGUACCUUAUCGUGGGGGAUAACGCAGCGAAAGCUGCGCUAAUACCGCAUACGCCCUGAGGGGGAAAGCGGGGGACCGUAAGGCCUCGCGCGAUUAGAGCGGCCGAUAUCUGAUUAGCUUGUUGGUGGGGUAAAAGCCCACCAAGGCGACGAUCAGUAGCUGGUCUGAGAGGACGAUCAGCCACACUGGGACUGAGACACGGCCCAGACUCCUACGGGAGGCAGCAGUGGGGAAUUUUGGACAAUGGGGGCAACCCUGAUCCAGCAAUGCCGCGUGAGUGAAGAAGGCCUUCGGGUUGUAAAGCUCUUUUGUCAGGGAAGAAACAGCAGCUCUAACACAGUCUGCGAAUGACGGUACCUGAAGAAUAAGCACCGGCUAACUACGUG
rnacentral:rRNA from 1 species